AUGAAAGGUGGUGAAUACCGAACAGCACUUGGAGGCUCCACAACUCUCCUCAUCCUCAGUAACAGAGAAGUCCAUCAAAUCUACAAAUGUGCAAAAGGUGGCAUCGCUUCAAACUGUAAAACAGCAAGGCAUUCAGCUAACUUUGAGACUUGACUGACAGUCAGCCACAAAAGAUAAAGAUAAUGUCUAGCCCAUGGAGGUUUUCCAGGAUAUGCUUUUUAUAUUUCAAAUCUUCACCAUCCACCGUAUUUUGCGAGUAUUUCAUCUGCUCCAUGCUGGAUGACAGUGAAAAGGAACUAUGGCAACAUUGUCAACAUGGAACAGCAAAUUAAAAUGGAAGUAUCAAAUUUCACACGAAGGA